UCGAUCGAUUUCAGGUUGGUUCGAUGAUCGCGAAGACGGAGGAGGUAUGUGAGCUGCUUCCUCCAGUAUUGCGCCUUGUGGUUUGAGGGUGGGAGCUGACGGAACCAAUCAGAGGGACGAGGAGGGUGAUCAUUUGCCCCUGUAUGCCAACGAGGUCCUUCGCAUGUUGAUUUCGAUCUGGAACGCAUUGAUCCAUCGAAAAUCCAAAUGCAUAUUGUUUUGAAUCCGAGGCCUAUAAUGACGUGCGCGUACAUAAUAAUCUCUCGGUCCUUCGCGACCCGGCGACGCAACCGGGAAUCCAAAGACGCGGAGGAGGAGGAAUAGAGAGCGCGAUGGGUCUGCAGGUCGAUUUUGAAGAAUAUCCUGCAAAAGCUAAAACUUUACCUGUAAAUACUACUAACAAGAGCAAAUUGAUCCUGUAUGGGCUUUACUAGCAAGCAACUGUCGGACCUGUGAAUACUAGCUGACCUGGUAUAUUCAAUAUGAGGGAUAGAGCCAAAUGGGAAGCUUGGAAGGCUGUUGAAGGUUUACAAAAUCCACUUGACAAAUCUUAUAUAUAUAAAUAUAAAUAAAUAAAUAUAACUUGUUGGACAAAAUUCAUUUCUUAUUUAAUAUUAGUAAAAUUGACAGGGGAGGAAGCCAAAGGAGGAGGCUAUGAGUGACUACCUCACCAAGGUUAAACAGCUGCUCGAGGCAGCUGCUACUGUUGCUUAUGCUACUUUGUCACACCUUGCUCUAUGUAGUACCAUUGUUUCAUUCGAGUUAAGAUGCAUGCGGAUGUCAAGUUUUUAGGUCAGCAAAGCUAAGUGUGGGCAUGUUGAAUGAGCAUUACCUGCAGCCCAUAUAUUUAGUGAAGCUUUAUUGAUUCCCGUUUGUUGGUGAUGGUGUGUUCUUUGCGGAGCUUAGUGACGUCCUCACAAGAACCACUGAGCUGUGGACGGGUACUCCAGUGUUGAGGUCAGCAUCGGUGAUCAUUAUUAGAGCCGCCAGGACCCUGAACGUACUUGAUAUCGAUCUCCAAUCUAUGUUAAGCCUUGGUGGUACACCCGAUUUGGACUUCGUAUCAUAAUUGUGUAUGGUGAGAAGGGGAGAAGGAUAUUGGAGUUGACUUCUGUGGUCCAGUAAAGAUUAAACUUUUUGGAAAAUGGUGUGGAGCUCUACACCGAAGGUCAACGACAAAGGGCUUUGUGCAAUUGCUUGGGCUAUCUUUCUGGUACAAGCUUCUCGGAGGAGUGUCAUUCCUUCUUAACAUGGAGGAGAAGGGAGCAUAGGAGAGGAGAGCAAAGUGAGAGUGAAGCGCUUAUAUGUUGUUUGUUGCUGAUGGUGUGUUCUUUGCGGAGCUUAGUGAGGUCCUCACAAGAACCACUGAGCUGUGGAUGGGUACUCCAAUGUUGAGGUCAGCAUCGGUGAUCAUUAUUAGAGCCACCAGGACCCUGAACGUACUUGAUAUUGAUCUCCAAUCUAUGUUAAGCCUCGGUGGUAUACCCGAUUUGGACUUCGUAUAAGAAUUGUGUAUGGUGAGAAGGGGAGAAGGAUACUGGAGUUGACUUCUGUGGUCCAGUAAAGAUUCAACUUUUUGGAAAAUAGUGUGGAGCUUUACGCUGAGAAGGUCAACAACAGAGGGCUUUGUGCAAUUGCUCAGGUUGUCUUUCUGGAACAAUCUUCUCGGAGGGUGUUCUCGGCAUCAAAGUAAAGAUCAUGCUGGAUUGAGAUCCUAAAGGAAAGCAUGGCCCCAUGACUCCUUUGUCAGAUCAGAUUACAUUUCAUGCCCCAAAGGAAGAAAGGAGUUAAUCCAAUCUCCUGUUUUGUCUGAAAAAGAAAUGGGAUUAUAUUUUUUAUUGAUAAGCUUAGGGUGUGUUAUUUGUUCUUAUAAUUUGUUUUGAUACCCAACAGGGAUACUCUCUAUUCUGACAUUUUUAACUGUUUUACAGAAUUGAUAUUAGUUGUGAAUUUUUACCUGUGGUCAAUCAAUGCCGGUGCGAUAAGACAUCAAUGAGGCUUGCAGUACUUUCGGGGUUGUCAUCGUCCGUCAUGGACUCUCGCAGGCUCUUGAUUAAGUGAUGGAUGGGAGAGAACAUCUGCUCAUCGCCAUGAUCGACCGACGACGAUGAGGCUGGGAUUUUUGCAGAGGGGGCUUCAUUAGAUGCAGGAGAGUCGACGAAGGAAAGAUUCCUAUUCGGGGAUGCCACACCAGAAGCCAGUAAGGGAUUUUGCACUACCGCGGUUGGAGGUGGUAACGUGGACUCAUCUCCGACUGUUUCGAUGGAGGUGCCGCCGGAGGCCUGAUGCGAGCUCUGUGAGCUCUUCUUUAUGUGACAGAGAACUUGUUUCUGGAAGUCGGAAGAACACAUCGCAUACUCAUACAUCGUCCACCCGGAGUUCUUCCGCUGGCCUUGGCCUUUCUUGAAACAAAGGCAGCUCCUUCGCCCCACCACCAUCUUGCGCCCGUCGACGAUGGACUUGAGUUCUUGCUUUUUGUACAGAAUCCAAGAACCGCUGCCGGCCUUUCGAUCCACGCGCGAGCCACUGCUGUUCUUGGGCUUGCGCUCCGUAAAGAAAUAGCCCUCCUGCCGAUCGCCGACGAGAAGAUUCCACGGCUCUGUGCCGUAGACGUCGGCGAAUUCGACAGCGCGGCCAGUGAGGCGUGUGCCGGCGACCCAGUCGGCGAGGUAGUCAACCAGUUCCUCCGCCGUGGGAAGGAACCUGUAGCCUCUCGGAACGUCGUCGACGGGCUCCAUGGAUGGACUGGACUUUCUUGACUAGGAGAGGAGAGGAAAUCAGGAGGAGGAGAAUGGAGCAGAGGAGAUGCGAGGGCGAGAAGAUGAGUGAGAGUGGGAGAGGACAGCGAUAUAUAUAGGCAAUGGGCGUGAUAAAGAGUGGGAGAGGAGAGAGCCAACUCGGUGCCGUGUUUCGGCGAUCCAGUGGGCGAGGUAGUCAACCAGUUCGAACCAGUGGAGCAGAGGAGUUGAGAGCGGAGAUCGCCCAUCGCGAGUGGGAGAGGAGAGCAAGCGAGUCGGAGGUUUCGGAACAAGGUCGAAAGGAUUCACCAGAUGUCAUUCUCUUCUAAAAUGUCUGACAACCAUGACACUUCUUAUUAACGUUCUAGAAUGGUUAGGACUUAUUAUAUUUAAAUUAGGCCAAAGAUUAUUAUAUUUCUUAA